GAGCGCAUUGGAAACCGAAGGCGGUUUCCUUCCGGAAGGCUGUAGGGAGUCGGGGCCCGGCUGAUGCCCCGGCUCCUCUCGGAGGGCAGCAGGGAGAGAUCAUCGCAGCGGUUUUAAUUCCUGAGCCAACCGGGAGCCAGCUCCCGGGCCGCCUCUCCUUUACAGUCUGUUAUGUUGUGUGUGCUUGACUGCUUCCAAUUGGGUUGAGGGGGAAAUGUCCCUGCUCGCACAGAAACGGGUGGCUAUCCCAGCUCGGACCCCUAAGGUCCCGAGUGCCCAUCACGACCUGGCCCGUCCCGGGAGAGCCGGGUACGCGGACACGCCUGCGGAGACUGACCGCAGGAGGGAGGUGAGGGGUGUGGGGGCUCCCGUGAGCCUGCUGGCACUCGCGUCUCCCCGCCUUCAGCUGCACCUUCACGCCCCACGUCUACCUGCAAUUGCCUCGGCUAAGAAGGCGAGUGCGGUUUAGCCCGUCUGCCUAAACUUACUGCCCAGCCGUCACAGCUGCCCUGCAUCCCGAAUAUGCGUCCUAAUGUGUGUGCGGCUGCACCUUAUUCACCAGGUUUACUCCUGCUGAGGGCGACUCCUACCGCCCGCUCCGGGCUGGAGCCGGACUUCGGGCGGAGCAGAGCUCCCUGCCAGGAAUAGCCGCUCCGUCCCCUCUACUGUCCACACGUACAGGAGCCGCGCAGGCCGGGCCGUGUCCUCAGGAACCCGUCACCCGGACAGCCGGCUCACGCGAGAAUGGACUGUCGGAAACGCCACCCCGCUCCCCUCCCGGGUUGCUGCGGCGCUCCGCUCCUCCUCCGGAAAAUCCCGGAACACAUUCCGGGGGGGCGCAGCGCAUCUGGCGACGCCUCCCCUUUCAACGCAGGGGGCGCAAUCGAUCGUUUGUGCUGCGGCUGCUCUGAAUCCCCUCUCCCCGGUGUGUGCAGACCUGACUUCCGCCCCACCGUCGGCAUUUGUCCAUUCCUGGUUACCGUACCCACAACACGCACACAGACACACACACACACACCUCAGUCCCCACUGCUCACCCUGGGUCUGAUCAUCUUUCUCGCCGCGGCGUCUCCUCCUCCUCCUCCUCCUCCUCUCCGCAUCCCGGCGCCUCCGUCUCCAUCACCAUGCUGGACAUCUUGAUCCUGAUGUUCUUCGCCAUCAUCGGACUGGUCAUCCUGUCCUACAUCAUCUACAUGCUGUGAGGGGCGGACCGCGGCCGAGCGGGGGCCGUGAGCUGAGCUGCGCUGCCCGGGUGGACAGCAGUAAGUCGGCGCCUGCGGGAGGAGACGGGCCCUUGUGCAGCUGUGGUUGUCGCUAGCGGGAGCAGGGAUGCCACAGGGACAGCAGGCAGACCGACAGCGCUGGACUCGCAGACUGAGGUGUGCUCUCCGGAGGAACUUUCCUGCCUGGGAAUGGAGGAACUGACGCUAGGGGAGAGAAAUUUCCAACCCUCCCCGUUCUCCUGCUCUCUUCUUCUCAUGGACAGAAUCGAAUCCCAAACGCUUUUCUCUCCAUUCUGUUCCGCUCAGUUCUGAAUUCCUCUGUUCUAGAUAGGAGGAGGAGGGAGGGACUAGACCCAUUGCACCACCUGCUUCACUGCCUCCCUGCCUCUGUCCCUCAGCUCUGUCCUCUGGGCCCCCUGCCUCCCUGCCUCUGUCCCUCAGCUCUGACCACAGGAGCGGCCAGACCCACAGUGGUCUGCGACAUGGAGGCCGUGGAAACCCUGUCGCCUAGGAAACGCCUCAGGCUGGUACUUGCCUAGUUUUCCGCCCACAGGUCCUGGACUGUCCUCCGUUUGAGCAUCUGCAGGGUCAAGCUCAGCUCAGCUGCUGGCUGGUUUCCCCGACAUCGGCGGUCACGUGACUGCAUUCCUGAUGAUGCCCUACAACAAGGAUGGGCAGCGCCCGUUUAGCAGAGUUAACUUCAGCGUUACAAGUUGAGCUGCGACCCUCACCAGGAAAAGCAGAGUAAAAAUGGAUGGAUGGAUUACCAGUUGAAAGGAGCCCUGGUAGCAAGGGCGUCUAGGUCCCGGGUUCAACCCCAGGCAGGGGCAAGCGAUGGAGCUGCUCUGAUUCCUUCCAGACAGCUCCCAGGUCAGCCACCGCCUGCUUUCCACAUGGGCCUUCAUGGUCUGAAAAGGGACCUACCUACCUAUUACUAGUUCAAUCCUGAGGGAGUCUAGUCCCUGGCAGACUGACCUGGCCCUUCACUGGCAUGGGGAGAAACAGGGGUGAAUCCCAGGAGGUGAUGCCUUACCUGCGGAGGCAAAGAGGAGCAUUAGAGCAUGAGAAAUCAGGAAACAGCAGAGGCAGUUUGCCAAGAGCUGGUACUCUCCACUCUCUACUGUGUAAGGGGACAGAAGUGACUAAGAGUUUUUGAAACACAAGCAAAAUGAGGCUUCAUAUAUGCCACGUAGGGCCCAAUGUAUAAGGAAGCAAACCAAAUACACCAGUCUUCUGAAACACUCUGUAUGCCAGUGCUACGAAAAUAUUAAGAAUAUAUUUUUAAGUACAAGUUAUAUGGUUCUGGGAUUUUCUCCCCUCUCCUACAUCUAGAUAUGAUUGAAUAAAGUGUAUGUUGUUGAUGUC